GUAUCUGUAUAAAAGGCACGUCUUCUAAAGGCACAUGAACACACAGAUCAGGAGAAGUCACAAGAAAAGAAAAUGAAAUUAUUGGUUUUAACAGUUAUCUUAGCAUUAUGCGUAGCAGGGUACGUAGAAGCUAGAGCACAAUCAUGUUUUAGAACACUUGACUGUGGCUUUAGCAUUGAUGGUUGUCGAUCAGUCUGUCGGUCAAAGGGUUGCAGUGGUUCGAAUUCUAGAUGUGUUGGCAAUAGCCAAUGUUGCUGUAAGUGUAACAGUGGUGGAUAUGGAAAGUAAUAAUGCAGUGCUGCACAUAUGACGACAGUCAAAAAGGAUCUAAUAAAAAAAAAAAAAAA